rnacentral:tRNA from 1 species
AGUAUGGUGUAGUGGUUUGAGUGCUGGACUAUGACUCUGGAGACCAGGGUUCAAAUCCCUACUAUGCUG